UCCAAGGCCUCUGCUUGGUUGAGUGAAGAAGCUGUGGUCACAUGGUCCGCAAAGAAGAAGCUCAGGAAAUAGAAAGAUGCUGUCAGCACCUCUGGGAGGCUCACCAGUGCCC